GACGAACGCUGGCGGCGUGCUUAACACAUGCAAGUCGAGCGAGGGGCUUCGGUUCCUAGCGGCGAACGGGUGAGUAACACGUGGGCAACCUGCCCCGAGCUCUGGAAUAACCUCGGGAAACCGGGGCUAAUGCCGGAUAUGACACUGCCGGGCAUCUGGUGGUGUGGAAAGAUUUAUCGGCUCGGGAUGGGCCCGCGGCCUAUCAGCUUGUUGGUGGGGUGAUGGCCUACCAAGGCGACGACGGGUAGCCGGCCUGAGAGGGCGACCGGCCACACUGGGACUGAGACACGGCCCAGACUCCUACGGGAGGCAGCAGUGGGGAAUAUUGCGCAAUGGGCGAAAGCCUGACGCAGCGACGCCGCGUGGGGGAUGAAGGCC
rnacentral:rRNA from 1 species